ensembl:lncRNA
AAUCUGGUGGCUACUUCGCCAGAUUCUGAGAUGAAGAGUGGGUCUGUUGCUGAUAGGCUGUGCGAUUGCCGGAGCUGCAAAAUGUCAUGGUGUAUUCCGAAAGAAAACACCAUCCAGAAGUCAGAUAUGCAGGCAUGGCGGCGUGCAUUGAAGGUGAGGGUUGAGGCGGUAAACUAUGAGCAUCUGAGGAAUCCAAAAAAGGCCAGGGAGAACAUGGCUUCCAACGUUAAGGCGGGAAGGUUACUUGGUAUCAGUUGUGGAAGCUCUUCCAAGCUGUCCAGUAAGACGAGUGGGUAAUUGGGUAAAUUUCAAAGAGUGCGGAGGAGGUUAUUACGCAGUCUCUUGCGAGCUCGGGAGGCAAUUUUUCUGCUAACCAUCUUCCAUUGUAGAAGCCCUCAAAACCAACAGAAGGAGCAGCGUCCGUAUUCAGAUGCAGCUGUUGUCAGGAUCUCCGAUCCCCCCGAGUUGGUUGAUGAGAAGGAUCCAGCACGUUGAUCAAUUAAAGUCAAAAAGUUAACAUUUAUUUAGAAGAGAAAAAGAUUACAUGAACAAUUCUCCGCAGAUAUCUGGCUCUAACUAUUGCUUGCAAGCAGGAGGUCAAGCACACCAGUACGUAUUCCAGCAUUCUGUGUAAUGGCGUCUCCGAGCAGUAAAAACGCGUUUAAACGAGUUUUUAUACCAAGACCGUUCUCAGUGCCCGUUAUGAGAAGCCAUAAAUCAAGUUGAGAUAAGAACUCGGGUGAAGCUGAGGGUAACACACAAUGCUCCUUUGAUCGAGGGUCUGUGACAGCAAGUUAACCCCCUUCUCCAGACACAGCUGCAAACCCUAAAUAUUUCUGUCUCUACACAUCAGGGUCAAACACUUGAGACCUGGCUUUUGGCACCAGACAAAUGUUUACAACAUGUUUUACCACUACAUGCAUCUCACAAUGUGUAGAUGUGUUAAUAUGUUGUCGUAGAAAAAGGUGAUUCCGUUCCAAUUAGAGAGCAGAUUCUACCAGAGACGGAGUUCGGCACGGCUUGAACUGUCCAGGGGGGUGAAAUCAACGCCAGGAGGUCCUGAGCUAGUCAAGGUUAGCUUCAUUAGCUCCAGGCUAAAAGGUGCAGUGUGAACAUGUCCUUAUUUAAC